UGACUAAAAACCCCAAAUUCCACAAUUAAACAAAUAUAACCCUCAAUAUCAUUCGGUAAUGCCAAAAAGGGAAUAUCUUUCCGAUUUACGUCCGCCUUUUAGUCCGUGCGAACCCAUCUCUGAAAAGUUAUAAAAUAACCAAAAAAAAUAUAUAUAAAUAAAUUUUCAAUCUUUCCCCAUACCCACUUCAAAUCACAUUAAUACCCAUCUGGGUUUCAAAAAUCUUGAUAAAAAAACUCAUAAAGUUGCAGUCUUGAUCAAGAAUGAGGAAGAGAGAGAGAGAAAACCCAUGUGGGAUUUGUGGGCAUUAUCAUAAGUAUGAAGAGGGUGAAGUUUGUGGGAUUUGCGGGCACCGGAUGCCUGUUGGAGUUGAAAAAAGUUUGAUCCAAGUUAGUGCUUUUCCCUCUGAAAUCUUGCCGGAGAUGUUGUAUCUUGGUAGCUAUGAUAACGCUUCUAGGUCGGAGCUUCUUAAGACUCUUGGGAUUUCUCGUGUUCUUAAUGUUGUACCCGCGUGUCAAAAUCUCUACAAAAAUUCAUUUACUUAUCAUUGCCUUCCCGAUAGCCCAACUCUAGCAUUCGAUGAUGCAGUUGAUUUCUUAGAGCAAUGUGAAAAGGAUAAAGCUCGAGUUCUUGUUCACUGCAUGUCAGGAAAAAACAAGUCACCGGCUGUGGUCAUUGCGUAUUUGAUGAAGAGCAGAAGGUGGACUUUUGAUCAGAGUUACCAAUGGGUGAAAGAACGCAGACCGUCUGUUGACUUAAACGAAGUUGUUUUGCAGCAGCUACAAGAGUAUGCACAGAAGAUUCAGACGGCAGUGGAGGCCAGUGGUGGCGGUGGCGCUCUGCCACCGAUCUCAGACAGCGGAGCGCCAUUUAGCUUCGGGUUCACAAACCGAACCAACGUUGCACCAGCCUUCCCAGCUUUCAACACCGCUGCAGCCACCACCUCCAUUUUCACUCGUGCAGACAUCCCUCCGCCAAACCAGUUCACUUUUGGGGCGGCUGCUCAGACUGAGAACGCCCCGCAAAAUCUGGUGUCGUCUGGGCCUGAUUCUGUGAAUCCAAAUGCUACCGAUGUGUCGAUGGAUGGGUCUUAAACUUUUGUUUUUUUUGGGUUAUAUGUGCGAAUCUUGUGGGAAGCCAUGAAUGUUGGGUUGAAUCAAUGUUGUAAAAGCAUGUCUAGGAGGUCGAGUGCUCGUUGAGUAAUGGUGACAAGGUGAUUUUCUACAACUCCGUCUUAUUACUUGGAAUCGAUCAAAAGUGGUCAACCUCGGCCUGGAUUUCGUCGAUCAAUUUGGGAUAAGUUUGACUUGCAAAACUAAAUAAAACAUGGUUACUAUGUCUAUUAU